ACUUUCAUUUCCCCUUUCUUUCUCUCUCUACUUCUCUCCUUAUCUUAAUGCCCAUUUCUACUCUCUGACCUCUCUCUAAAACGAACCCUCAUCCGGCCUCCCUUCUCCGCCUUUCACCACCAUCCAAAGCACCACCUUCCCCAGAUUCUGGUUGAUCUUCAACCGGUAUCUUCAAAUGUUCAUCCAUUAUUUUCCAAAACGCCCUCAAUCUCUAAACCUGGGUUCUUCAGAUGAACCCUAACAACUUCUUCAACCUAGAAACCUCCCAAACCGAAGAAUCCCAAAUGGGUUCUCCUAAACCCGAAGAACCCUAACCUAUGCCCAGAUGAACCCUAUGGUUCAUCACAUGAACCCUAACCCUAGCCAUUACCUAAAAACUCCCUAAAUCAUGGCUGAUCCACAAAUCGGUCUUCCCUAACCCCAACCAAACCCUUAAAUUCCCAAAUCAAACCCCAAGGAAACAAAAACUUUUAACCCUAACCUUAAUCCCCUUUUAAUUCAUUCAUCAAUUCAACCUAUAAAACUGCAAUAAACACAAAUAGGCAAGCAACACAACAAAUAUAUUAUGCGAAAAGGGGGUCAACCUACGAUAUGGAGAUGUAUUCCGGUUCAUGAAAGAGUUUAAAUGUUAAACCUUAACCUCUGUUUAAUGGGAGCUUUGGUGAUGGUUUGGUGGAUUGCGGAAGCAAGAAUUUUGAGGAUUCUUUUUUAGGGUUUUAUUUUUUUCGUCCCUCAUCCAGUCUUAGCAUUAGGCUUUUAUAGAUUGAUUUUAGGUUUUAGGAUUUAAUUUGAUUGAUUCAAUCAGGUAACUUAGAAUUUGAUUCUGAUUGUUUUGUGUUAGAAAUGAAAACUAUAUUCAAAUUGUAACUGAAAUUAUAAUGUAUUUGGUCCAAUAUUUGGUUUGUAAUUCGUGAUCGUAUGAAAUUAGAAAGUUUGGAUUGAGUUAAAA